UACGUAGGGUGCGAGCGUUGUCCGGAAUUACUGGGCGUAAAGGGCUCGUAGGUGGUUUGUCGCGUCGUCUGUGAAAUUCCGGGGCUUAACUCCGGGCGUGCAGGCGAUACGGGCAUAACUUGAGUACUGUAGGGGUAACUGGAAUUCCUGGUGUAGCGGUGAAAUGCGCAGAUAUCAGGAGAAACACCGAUGGCGAAGGCAGGUUACUGGGCAGUUACUGACGCUGAGGAGCGAAAGCAUGGGUAGCGAACAGGGAUUAGAUACCCUGGUAGUCCAUGCCGUAAACGGUGGGCGCUAGGUGUGAGGGUCUUUUCACGACUUUCGUGCCGUAGCUAACGCAUUAAGCGCCCCGCCUGGGGAGUACGGCCGCAAGGCUAAAAC
rnacentral:rRNA from 1 species